GGACUGGCCAGCCCCAUCUGGAAGACUAGUGAUUUUGUUGUUGUUUCUCUAUACCCAACAACAAGUCCCAGUCUGCCUCAUGGUGUGAGCCAUCACA
rnacentral:pre_miRNA from 1 species